UACGGGAGGCAGCAGUGGGGAAUAUUGCACAAUGGGGGAAACCCUGAUGCAGCGACGCCGCGUGAAGGAUGAAGUAUUUCGGUAUGUAAACUUCUAUCAGCAAGGAAGAAAAAUGACGGUACUUGACUAAGAAGCCCCGGCUAAAUACGUGCCAGCAGCCGCGGUAAU
rnacentral:rRNA from 1 species